ensembl:lncRNA
AUGACGGUUUCUCCUGCUCAAUGGUCUCUUUGGUCUGCAGGGUGUUCUUCGCCUGCGUCUCCGUCUUCUUCAGCUUGGCCUUAUCGAAGCUGGCGAUUUCCCCAAGUCCGGCUUGUCUGCCAUUUUCUUAAACCCGCAGCGUCUCGCUCCGGUUCCCGGUUCCUGGAGAUCCCACUCGCGUCGCUGCAGCAAGAGACCGAGAUUUUUUUAAACAUUUAUUUUAAUAUAUAUAUAUAAAUUUCGAAAGUGCAACUUUUAGAUUAUAGCAGCUUUUUCCCCUCAUAAACUCCCUCCCGCCCACAACCAUCUGAUCUCCUGCUCCCUCUCCCAUCUCAUUCACAUCAAGAUUCAUUUUCAAUUAUUUUUAUAAACAGAAGUUCAAUUCAGUAUAUAUUUAAGUAAAGAUUUCAACACUUUGCACCCACACAGAAACACCAAGUAUAAAGUACUGUUUGAAUACUAGUUAUAUCAUUAAUUCAUAUAGUACAACACAUUAAGGAUAGAGAUCCUACAUGGAGAGUAAGUAACAGUGACUCCUGAAGUUGAAUUAACAAUUUGACACUCUUGUUUAUUGCGUUGGUAAUCACCCAAGUCUCUUGUCAUGAGUUGCCACGGCUAUGGAAGCCUUUUGAGUUCACCAACUCCAGUCUUAUUUAGACAAGGUCAUAGUCAAAGUGGAAGUUCUCGCCUCCCUUCAGAGAAUGGUACCUCCUUCUUUGAUGGCUUUUUCUUUCCACUGGGAUCUCACUCAUAGAGAUCUUUCAUUUAGUUGUUUUUUUUUUUUUUUUUCCCCACAGUGCCUUGGCUUUCCAUGCCUGAAAUAUUCUCAUGGACUUUUUGCCAGAUCCUAAAGCCUUAAGGGCUGAUUCCGAGGCCAGAGUGCUAUUUAGGACAUCUGCCAUUCUAUGAGUCUGCUGUGUAUCCUGCUUCUCAUUUUGGACUGUUCUCUCCUUUUUUAAUUCUACCAGUUUGUAUUAGCAGAUACUAUUUUUUUUCAUUUUCAAUUAUCUUUAUAUACAGAAGAUCAAUUUAGUAUAUAUUAAGUAAAGAUUUCAACAGUUUGCACACACACAGAACAUAAAGUGUAAAAUGCUAAUUGAGUACAAGUUUUAGCAUUAAUUCACAUAGAACAACACAUUAAAGACAGAGAUCCUACAUGGGGAGUAAGUGCACAGUGACUCCUGUUGUUGAUUUAACAAAUUGACACUCUUGUUUAUGGUGUCAGAAAUCUCCUUAGGCUCUUUUCAUGAGUUCCAAAGCUAUGGAAGCCUUUUGAGUUCACCAACUCCAGUCUUAUUUAGACAAGGUCAUAGUCAAAGUGGAAGUUCUCUCCUCUCUUCAGAUAAAGGUACCUCCUUCUUUGAUUGCCUGUUCUUUCCACUGGGAUCUCACUCAUAGGGAUCUUUCAUUUAGGGUUUGUUUUUUUUUUUUUUUUUUUUUAUAGAGCCAGAGUGUCUUGGCUUUCCAUGCCUAAAAAAUUGUCAUGGGCUCUUCCGCCAGAUCUGAAUGCUUAAGGGCUGAUUCUGAGGCCAGAGAGCUGUUUAGGACAUCCACCAUUCUAUGAAUCUGCUGUGUAUCCUGCUUCCCAUGUUGGAUUGUUUCUCCCUUUUUUAUUCUAUCAGACACUAGUCUUAUUUGUGUGAUCCCUUUGACUCUUAGACCUAUCAGUAUGACCAAUUGAGAUUUUGGUAAGGGUUACAUUGAAUCUGUAAUUGCUUUAGGAAAUGUGCCCAUUUUAAUAAUACUGAUUUUUAUAACCCCGGAACAUGAUGUCUUUCCAGUUCUUUUUGUCUUCUUCAGUUCCAUUUAUCAUGAUUCAUAGUUCCCAUUGUUGAGAUCUUCCACCUCUUUGGUAUUUUUGGUAGCUAUUGGAGAUGGGAUUGCUUUCUUUUUCUCAGAUGAUUCCUUAUUUGUGCUCAUCUGCUUUGACUAUAUCCUGCAACUCUGCUGAUCUGUUUAGUAGGUCUAGCACCUUAUUUGUAGAGUCUUGGACUUUCCUAUAUUUAAGAUCAUUUCAUUUGCAAACAGUGACAAUUUCACUUCUUCCUGUCAAAGUUGAAUGUAGUUUUCAUUUCCUUCUCUUGUCUGAUUGCUCUUGCUAGAACUUCUAGUAAUAUGUUGAAUAAAAAUGGUGAAAGUGUGCA